UACGUAGGGUGCAAGCGUUGUUCGGAAUCAUUGGGCGUAAAGCGCGUGUAGGCGGUUUGUUAAGUCGAUUGUGAAAUCCCUGGGCUCAACCGAGGAAGUGCAGUCGAAACUAACAAGCUAGAGGACGGCAGAGGAUGGUGGAAUUCCAAGUGUAGAGGUGAAAUUCGUAGAUAUUUGGAGGAAUACCGGUGGCGAAGGCGGCCAUCUGGACCGGUACUGACGCUGAGACGCGAAAGCGUGGGGAGCAAACAGG
rnacentral:rRNA from 1 species